UACGGGGGGGGCAAGCGUUGUUCGGAAUUACUGGGCGUAAAGGGCUCGUAGGCGGCCAACUAAGUCAGACGUGAAAUCCCUCGGCUUAACUGUGGAACUGCCCUUGAAACUGUCAAGCUAGAGUGUCGGAGGGGAUAGCGGAAUUGCUAAUGUAGAGGUGAAAUUCGUAGAUAUUAGCAGGAACACCGGUGGCGAAGGCGGCUAUCUGGACGACAACUGACGCUGAGACGCGAAAGCGUGGGGAUCAAACAGG
rnacentral:rRNA from 1 species